rnacentral:rRNA from 1 species
GAUGAACGCUGGCGGCGUGCCUAAUACAUGCAAGUCGAGCGAACAGACGAGGAGCUUGCUCCUCUGACGUUAGCGGCGGACGGGUGAGUAACACGUGGAUAACCUACCUAUAAGACUGGGAUAACUUCGGGAAACCGGAGCUAAUACCGGAUAAUAUAUUGAACCGCAUGGUUCAAUAGUGAAAGACGGUUUUGCUGUCACUUAUAGAUGGAUCCGCGCCGCAUUAGCUAGUUGGUAAGUUAACGGCUUACCAAGGCAACGAUGCGUAGCCGACCUGAGAGGGUGAUCGGCCCCACUGGAACUGGGACACGGUCCAGACUCCUACGGGAGGCAGCAGUAGGGAAUCUUCCGCAAUGGGCGAAAGCCUGACGGGGCAACGCCGCGUGAGUGAUGAAGGUCUUCGGAUCGUAAAACUCUGUUAUUAGGGAAGAACAAAUGUGUAAGUAACUAUGCACGUCUUGACGGUACCUAAUCAGAAAGCCACGGCUAACUACGUG